ACAGCCACAGGGGUUUUAAUGACUAAUACUUUUUUAAUUGUUUGUAUAUUUAUGAAUAUUGUUUAAUGUGGUGUUGAUUCAAGGCUCUCUGUUCUGUUCACAGGGACUGACAGGACCUCCAGGGAAGCCGGGCCUGCCAGGCAAGAGAGGUCCUAGGGGUGACCCUGGUCCCCACGGAAAUCCUGGCCGGCCUGGUCCCCCCGGACUCAAGGGGAGAAAAGGAGACCCUGGCAUGUCACCUGGUCCAGCACCUAAAGGAGACAAGGUAUUAUAGCCCUCAUUUUCUAAGAUGCUACAAUCGUUUCUUACAACUUUCUGUUCUCACGCGUUUUGUCGCCAUGUUGACGCCAAACUUUUUGCCUUCACGUUUCAGGGGGACUUUGGGAUCAUUGGUCCGGUUGGACAGACUGGCCCAGCAGGACGAGCGGGUCAGAAAGGUUUCCCCGGUCCACCUGGCCUCCCCGGGGAGCCCGUAAGUACAAGACUUACUUAUUAACCUAAUUAAAUUUUGCAUCAUAGUGCGAUUGCAUGAAAAACACCUCCUUCGUGGCAUCUGUCCGGUCGCCUUUAUGCGUGUGCAGCCCACCAUCCCUUCCCUCGUCGUCGGCUAAUCCCUCAUAUCCUCACAUCUCGCCUCUUUCUUUAUGAAAGCUCAGUCGCCGCCUUAUCUCCCGGUCUGUUUGUGUGCACACACCAUGCAUGCCUUCGGGGGCAGCCAGAUUAGAUUAGCGUAAAACGAAGAACCGGUGAGGACAGACGUCUGGCCAGCGCUCCCAGCUACAACAAUGCUCUCCAGGAUCUCAACAAGUGAUGCCAAAGAGAGGGGGAAUAGGAAAAUAGAGACAGGAGCGAGCCAAGUAGGCCAACAGUGACACUUUCACUGGGACUGCAGCUUGAGGAGAGGUGUUUUUAUUUCUCCCGAGUUCAGAGCUUCAGUUAAUUAUUGUAUUUGCUGCUGUACAGUAAGAGGGAGGAGGCAUGACUCCGGCUGCUUGGACCAGCCCUGCAGGAUUAUUUUAAGUGUGGAGCAUUCGGCCUCAUAUCCAGAGUUAUUUUCAGCCAGCUGUCGCUCCUCUGUUGCUAUUACAGUAAGACCUUAGUCAUGGCAGGCACACUGGAAUAUUCUCAUCAUUGUCACAGUUUUAUGUAAGUCGCCCAUUCUCAGGGUGAUGUCACCAGAGCAGGGACUUCCCUCGUUUUCGAGCGACUCUCUCGCGUCCCUUCACUCCGUCCGUCCUCGGACGCCCCUCUCUUUCCCACAGAGUUCAUCACACCCCGACCCCGAGUCUGGAUAGUCAGAGCGCUAGUGACUGAGUAAUAGGCACAACUGUUUGGAAGUGCAGGCCCUCGAGUCGUUGAGCAAAGCCCAGCUGGUGUGCAUGAAGUUACUGUAAUACACCGCGGACCGGACUCAGAGCCCCUCCCUCCUGGGAAAGAUCCAAACGUCACCUCAGCUGCUUUUCAGCUGGACUCCGUGUGCGAUAAUGAUCCUCACU
rnacentral:lncRNA from 1 species